UACGGAGGGUGCGAGCGUUGUCCGGAAUCAUUGGGCGUAAAGGGCGCGUAGGUGGCCCGGUCAGUUCGUGGUGAAAGCGCGGGGCUCAACCCUGCGUCGGCCAUGAAUACUGCCGCGGCUGGAGCACUGUAGAGGCAGGCGGAAUUCCGGGUGUAGCGGUGGAAUGCGUAGAGAUCCGGAAGAACACCGGUGGCGAAGGCGGUCUGCUGGGCAGUUUCUGGACACUGAGGCGCGACAGCGUGGGGAGCAAACAGGG
rnacentral:rRNA from 1 species